GCGAACGGGUGAGUAACACGUGGGCAAUCUGCCCUGCACUCUGGGAUAACUCCGGGAAACCGGAGCUAAUACCGGAUAUGAUCCUCCAGGGCAUCCUGGGGGGUGGAAAGCUCCGGCGGUGCAGGAUGAGCCCGCGGCCUAUCAGCUGGUUGGUGGGGUGACGGCCCACCAAGGCGACGACGGGUAGCCGGCCUGAGAGGGCGACCGGCCACACUGGGACUGAGACACGGCCCAGACUCCUACGGGAGGCAGCAGUGGGGAAUAUUGCACAAUGGGCGCAAGCCUGAUGCAGCGACGCCGCGUGAGGGAUGACGGCCUUCGGGUUGUAAACCUCUUUCAGCAGGGAAGAAGCGGAAGUGACGGUACCUGCAGAAGAAGCACCGGCUAACUACGUGCCAGCAGCCGCGGUAAUACGUGGAGGCACGUGCGAGCGUUGUCCGGAAUUAUUGGGCGUAAAGAGCUCG
rnacentral:rRNA from 1 species